GACGAACGCUGGCGGCGUGCCUAAUACAUGCAAGUAGGACGAGUUGCGAACGGGUGAGUAACGCGUGGUAACCUACCUAUUAGAGGGGGAUAACUAUUGGAAACGAUAGCUAAUACCGCAUACUAGUACAUGGACCUGCGUUGUAUUAGCUAGUAGGUAGGGUAAUGGCCUACCUAGGCAACGAUCCCUAGCUGGUCUGAGAGGAUGACGAGCAAUACUGGAACUGAGACACGGUCCAGAAUCCUACGGGAGGCAGCAGUGGGGAAUAUUGCACAAUGGGCGAAAGCCUGAUGAAGACAUGCCGCGUGUAUGAAGAAGGCCUUCGGGUUGUAAAAUAAUUUCAGCGAGGAGGCGUUACACGCAGAAGAAGCACCGGCUAACUCCGUGCCAGCAGCCGCGGUAAUUC
rnacentral:rRNA from 1 species